CCUUACUUCUCUCCCUCUGGGGAACUAAAAUCUCUCUGUUCUCCAGGGGAACCCUUUGAGCGUCUUCACUUUCAAGAUCUUGAGGCUCUGGAUUCUCUAGAAACUUUGACUGAACUUUCCAAGCCCUUCUUAAGUUCUGUGUUUCAGCAAAGGACCCACAGGCUUCAUGCUAAAUCUCUAGCCAUUAACCAGGAUGCAGAGAGAGGCCUCCCGUCUCUGCUCAGGACCCUUGAGUCUCCUCUGCAGUGUGUUUGGAGACUCCUUCCUACCAGGUUCCUGGAGCUCUGAUGCCUUCAGAUGUUCAUUUUCUAAGAAGCAGCUUUGCUCUCUCAUGUGAUCUCCAAUCCUACCGAGUGCUGUUGAGACAUCAUGUUUGGAAUAUAUUCCAUUUUAAACUCAUGUUGUUGACGACGGCAUAGCGAAGCGCAACCCCAAAUCCCUGUGCCCAGUCACCACCAUCUGACUCCAAAGAAGGAAGAGAGCGGAAGGAAGGGUCCUGGAAUAACAGCUUACCCUGCAUGACGCUUUCCUGCUAUGAAAGAUGAAGAUGUAGCCGAGACAACCACAAAACCAAGGUUGCAUCAAAAUACAAGUGAACGGCUGAUUUUGAGGCUGCCUUCCUCUUCAGUCAGAGUCAUUGCUGCCCUCCUGAGAGCCUGUCUGUGCUUGCUCGUCCACACACAUCCCAUCUUCCUCCCAGAGACAUUUCAAAUGUAAGAACUAGAAAGGCUAAGAGAACUUCGCAGAACUAGAAAGGCUAAGAGAACUUCGAAGUCGGAAUAGAGAUCCUUUAAGAAGAAUGCUAAAUAUUCUAUAUACUCCAUCCAGAGGAUUUAACUUAGAUGAAAGGCCUUGCUUGUGUGAGAAACUAUUCCUUUUCUUUUUGUCUAGCUCCCACCUCUCUCCUAACUGGCUCCUUCCCCCAGUACAUGAGCACAAAGAGGAGCCCUGUGAAGUUCAGAGAGAUGCCAGCAUCUGCCAGUUGAGAAGAAGCCUCAAAUUAAAUCAAUGUUUCCAUCACCUUGAUCUCGGACUCCAGUCUACACAAUUGGGAGGAUUAAAUUCUAAUCCUGUGACACCU